UACCAGCACCCCGAGUGGUCGGGACGAUUAUUGGGCCUAAAGCAUCCGUAGCCGGUUCUGCAAGUCUUCCGUUAAAUCCACCUGCUCAACAGUUGGGCUGCGGAGGAUACUAUAGAGCUAGGAGGCGGGAGAGGCAAGCGGUACUUAGUGGGUAGGGGUAAAAUCCGUUGAUCCACUGAAGACCACCAGUGGCGAAGGCGGCUUGCCAGAACGCGCUCGACGGUGAGGGAUGAAAGCUGGGGGAGCAAACCGGAUUAGAAACCCGAGUAGUCC
rnacentral:rRNA from 1 species